UCCAGACUCCUACGGGAGGCAGCAGUGAGGAAUAUUGGUCAAUGGGCUUACGCCUGAACCAGCCAAGUCGCGUGAGGGAAGACUGCCCUAUGGGUUGUAAACCUCUUUUGCCGGGGAGCAAAGAGCGGGACGCGUCCCGCCUCGAGAGUACCCGGAGAAAAAGCAUCGGCUAACUCCGUGCCAGCAGCCGCGGUAAUACGGAGGAUGCGAGCGUUAUCCGGAUUUAUUGGGUUUAAAGGGUGCGCAGGCGGAGGCGCAAGUCAGCGGUAAAAUUGAGGGGCUCAACCUCGCUCCGCCGUUGAAACUGGCGUUCUUGAGUGGGCGAGAAGUAUGCGGAAUGCGUGGUGUAGCGGUGAAAUGCAUAGAUAUCACGCAGAACUCCGAUUGCGAAGGCAGCAUACCGGCGCCCAACUGACGCUGAAGCACGAAAGCGUGGGUAUCGAACAGGAUUAGAUACCCCGGUACAA
rnacentral:rRNA from 1 species